UGGCUCAGUUGUUAAGAGCAUGGUGUUUGCAACGCCAAGGUUGUGGGUUCGAUUCCCAC
rnacentral:tRNA from 1 species